rnacentral:misc_RNA from 1 species
GAAAUGCGAUAAGUAGUGUGAAUUGCAGAAUUCAGUGAAUCAUCGAAUCUUUGAACGCACAUUGCGCCCUUUGGUAUUCCAAAGGGCAUGCCUGUUCGAGCGUCAUUUGUACCCUCAAGCUUUGCUUGGUGUUGGGCGUCUUGUCUCUAGCUUUGCUGGAGACUCGCCUUAAAGUAAUUGGCAGCCGGCCUACUGGUUUCGGAGCGCAGCACAAGUCGCACUCUCUAUCAGCAAAGGUCUAGCAUCCGUUAAGCCUUUUUUCAACUUUUGACCUCGGAUCAGGUAGGGAUACCCGCUGAACUUAAGC